UACGUAGGUGGCAAGCGUUAUCCGGAUUUAUUGGGUUUAAAGGGAGCGUAGGCGGCUAAUUAAGUCAGUGGUUAAAGGUAGCAGCUUAACUGUUUUACAUGCCAUUGAUACUGGUUAGCUUGAGUUGACAGAAGGCAGAUAGAAUUUCUGGUGUAGCGGUGAAAUGCUUAGAUACCAGAAGGAAUACCGAUUGCGAAGGCAGUCUGCUGCAGUCACACUGACGCUGAUGCUCGAAGGUGCGGGGAUCAAACAGG
rnacentral:rRNA from 1 species